GUGCUCAUCUGAGUGUACAUACACUACAACUGAACACACAGAGAAGAUCAGCACAGCCCAUGUGCAAGGAUAACAUGCAAACUCCUAGAGUGUUCAUGUUUUUCU
rnacentral:snRNA from 1 species